UACGGAGGGUGUAAGCGUUAUCCGGAUUCACUGGGGUUAAAGGGUGCGUAGGAGGGCAGGUAAGUCAGUGGUGAAAUCCCCGAGCUUAACUUGGGAACUGCCGUUGAUACUAUCUGUCUUGAAUACCGUGGAGGUGAGCGGAAUAUGUCAUGUAGCGGUGAAAUGCUUAGAUAUGACAUAGAACACCAAUUGCGAAGGCAGCUCGCUACACGAAUAUUGACUCUGAGGCACGAAAGCGUGGGGAUCAAACAGG
rnacentral:rRNA from 1 species